rnacentral:rRNA from 1 species
AUUGAACGCUGGCGGCAGGCCUAACACAUGCAAGUCGAGCGGAUGAAGGGAGCUUGCUCCUGGAUUCAGCGGCGGACGGGUGAGUAUUGCCUAGGAAUCUGCCUGGUAGUGGGGGAUAACGUCCGGAAACGGGCGCUAAUACCGCAUACGUCCUGAGGGAGAAAGUGGGGGAUCUUCGGACCUCACGCUAUCAGAUGAGCCUAGGUCGGAUUAGCUAGUUGGUGGGUAAAGGCCUACCAAGGCGACGAUCCGUAACUGGUCUGAGAGGAUGAUCAGUCACACUGGAACUGAGACACGGUCCAGACUCCUACGGGAGGCAGCAGUGGGGAAUAUUGGACAAUGGGCCAAAUCCUGAUCCAGCCAUGCCGCGUGUGUGAAGAAGGUCUUCGGAUUGUAAAGCACUUUAAGUUGGGAGGAAGGGCAGUAAGUUAAUACCUUGCUGUUUUGACGUUACCAACAGAAUAAGCACCGGCUAACUUCGUG